rnacentral:misc_RNA from 1 species
UUCUGGACUUGCUCUGCAUGUCGGGCUCCCUGCACUUUUGGUGCGGCCAACCGACAUGGGGCUGUCUCUCCACUCUCCCUCCCGUCAUUGAAUCUGUCGGGCUGGGAUGCUUGUGAUCGGUUGCCUGUGCGGUUCUACCCUCUUGUGGGUAGCGAAGUCGUCCCUCGAUGGAUAUUUGCUUGCCCUGCUGACAUCUUUUUGUCGUUCGGGCAGCCGAAAUGUUGGCGAAAUCCCUGUGUUGGUGCGCGGCCGAGUGCCCUGUUGCUAUCACUUGGAUUUCUGCCGGCUCUCACGGAUGCGGUGCCUAGUGCCAGCUCUGCGGGGCUCUGUCCCGCAGACUUCGGGAGGUCCCUUGCACGAAUCAUUGCUCUUAUACGCCGUCUAGCGUGUUGCCUGCGGCGACCGCAGAUCGUGUUUUGUCGUGCCGUCAUUGACGGCAUGGCAGAACAAAGUGUCCGGAGCGUGCUCGCGUGCCUGCGGAAUGCCUCCCUGUCCGUAUGAGCAGCGAUUUCCGGUCUGCGCCGUGCGAAGGCCCGCCCGUCCGGGUCGGUGCUGGAGCCGGCGUGCCGGGUCUCGUUUAAGACGUGC